GCAAUAUUUGAAAAUAGUUAUUGUUCUAUGUGAACUGAAAAUCUACCCCGGAGUUGUGUUUGCAUUGUCAAUUUAUUUAGCAUGUGCUUUCUGCUUAGUAACCAGCCCCACUCCCAGGCCCUGGCCUUUUAAUUAGUCACCUGUCAUCAUAUUGAAGUGUUCCUCUUGAGGCACCAGUGACCCAUGGAGAGUCAAAACAUGGCAUUUGACACAGAAACAAACAUUUGCUGAACUUAUGUAAUCGGGCUGGUCAGAUGAACUGUUUCUUGGUGAUCAUGAAUUGAACUUACAUGAAAGAACAGGAAUCAAGGUGGUCAAGAGGAUGGGAAUGUCAAGGGGAAGAGGGCCACCAAGCAGAGUUAUAGGACCCAAAUUUGACGGCUGGCCACUUGUGUAGAUGCCUUAAAGCCCCAAUGCUCCAUAGCUGCCACUUGACAGAGGUAGAUUUUUUUGCAUAGUUCCAUUCAUUUACUCAAUCAACAGAUAACAAUUAACUUCUGACAUGUGUCCAGCAUGCUUUCAGGCCCUAGGAAUAAGACACUGCACAAGGUACCUGCCCUUAUAAGGCUUACAUGCUGGUGGAGGAAAGAAACAGAAACAAAUAAACAAAUUACUAAAUAGAAUUCAGGUUUGAUAAUACAGAAAGUAAAGCAGGAUUCAGAUACAGUGACAAGUAAUGGUGUGUGUGUGUGUGUGUGUGUGUGUGUGUCCUUUGAUUAGUUAGAUUCAUUAGGGAAGGCUGCUUGGAAGAGAUGACAUUUGAACAGACAGACUCGAAUGAAACGAGGAGGUGAGUCACUUAAGAGUACCUCAGCUAAAACUAAACCAGGUAUCACCAUUAUGGUGAACUGACCUAAGUUAACUUCGUCAUGAUGCACCACUCUUAAGUUGUUUUUAGUUGAAAAUCGUUGUUGAAAGAUUGGGAUAAAUAAGUGCUAUGGUUUGAAUGUAUGUAUGCCUCCAAAAUUUGUAAGUUAAAAUUUACACUCCAAGGUGAUAAUCUAGAGGUGGGGCCUUUGGGGAAGUGAUUAAGUCCUGAUGGCUCCACCCUUGUGAACUGAAUUAAUGUCCUUAUAAAAGAGGUUUCAGAAAGCUGCCUGACCCAUCCUCCAUCUCUUCCACCACGUGAGCACAGAGGAAGAGGCACCAUCUUGGAAACAGAGAUCAGCCUUCUCCAGGUACUGAAUCUGCUGGUGCCUUAAUCUUGGACUUCCCAGCCACUUAGGUUCUCUGGAAGCAGAUACUGAGACAGAUACUAAGACGGAGAAACCUCAUCUCUACUAAAAAUACAAAAUUAGCCAGGAGUGGUGGCACAUGCCUGUAGUCCCAGCUACUCAGGAGGCUGAGGCAGGAGAAUCACUUGAACCCAGGAGGUGGAGGUUGCGGUGAGCCGAGAUCCUGCCAUUGGACUCCAGCCUGGGCAACAAGAGCGAAAUUCCAUCUCAAAAACAAAAACAAAACAAAAAAACAUAUAUGGCCAGCUAGUUCUGCUUUAAAAAAAAAAAGCUCAAAAUAAUAUAAUUGAAUAUCACAAAGAAUAUAGACCAUCUUUAAACUUCAUUUAUACUCAUUAUACUUGUUUUCUCUUGCUAGUUUAUCAAAAGCAUGACAUGAUUAGGAGUUUAUUUCCAUGUUGAUGGAGGUUUAUAAUCUACAAGUUGAAGGGAAUUAUUAAUGAUUUACAGUCUCCCUUUGGGUCCUGUACUUCUCAUCUUCCCCAAUCCUGACCUGCUCCUGGAACCCUAACUCUAAGAUGGGACUUUGUGGCUGGCAACUCCCCCCAGGUCUCCCACAGACCCUCAGAUCAGGAGCCUCUGAAACACAGAAAAGUAAAUUGGAACGGAAUUCAUGCUACACCAUGGUGAAGAAGAGGAACUCUAGCAAAAUCUGUAGACCGGAAAAAUGAAACGUUUCUGUACUCGGCCUGACACGGCUCCCUGCGGACAUCAGAGGCAGCCCUCAGCGGAUGGGACAAACAUGGUGGGCAUGGACUGUAGGUUCCUGGUUUGGCCCUUCCACUGAGGUGGGAGAGCUGGAAAGUCCGCCAUUUGCACCACUUGGGUUCCAGGUGUGAGUAUCUCCGUAAUACUUGGGCAUGAUAAUGUCACCUAGAACUGGCUUGAGCCCAUUCCUCCAAGACAGAAGCAUCCUGAACAACGUUUGACCACAUAUCGGAGUAUCAUGGCCUAGCCAAGUUGACACACAAAAUUAACCAUCACAUGGAAUUAGAUAAGUCUGAGUGCAGUUGUUAAGGUGGGCACUAAGCCAAUAUGACUGGUGUCCUUAUGAAAGGGGAGAUUUGGACACAGAGACAGAAACACACACAGGGAGAAGCACGCCAUGUCUUCGAUGAAGGUUGAGACCAGGGUGAGGACAGCAAACCACCAGGAGCUAGGAGAGAGGUGUGCCCAGAUUCUCCGCACAGCCUUGUAAAAGAAUCAACACCACCAACACCUUGAUCUCAGACCUCAAGCCUCAAGAACUAUGGGACAAUAAAUUUCUGUUGUUUAAGCCAUCCAGUUUGUGGCACUUUGUUCACUCUAGUGAACGAAUAUAGCUUUCCAUAAUCCAAACAGUACAGAAACAGAGAACAAGACACCAAACUCCUGGGCUCCAGAAGGCAUUAGCCGGGCAUAGACAGGAGAAAAAUCUGAAAGAUGUGAGCAGGCAGCGCCCAUUUCUACCUGCCUGCUCUCCACCCACAUCCUCCCUGGUUUCUGGACUAACAGAUAAAGCCCUCAGCCUGAGUGGAGAGAGGAGAGUUGAAGAGGGAGUAAGAGAGUUGGAUGCAAUGUGGAAGGCGUACAUCCUCCCUAUCCUCUGACAAUAGCCAACUCACAGGGGCGGGCGGGUCUGGGGAGCACCUUUAAAUGUGAGGAUAAACUCCAGGGAGACUACAUCUGAUCCAUUGUUGUGUGUCAGCAGUGGGUAGAAAUGACGGCACCGCACAUGGGGCCAGAGGCUAUCCUGAGUUUUCCGUAUCCCUAAAGGGGUGUGUCAGCCAUUAGAAAACAUCCAAAGUUCCUGAGUGAGGACACACAGAAGAUACUUGGGAGACAGCAAGCCUGUGAGGCCUGGAGACCAGAAUGAAGGGACCCUAUGUGGGGAAGGUACAGCUCACGGUCAGGACUGCAGGAAGCCUGGGAGGACGCCAUGGAGACCUGCAGGUCUCUGAGGCAAGGUGAUGGUGUGUCGGAAGCAGCAGGCCAGCAGAGCACCAAGAAGGGGGUGCCCUCUCCCCAUGCCCUCACCCAGCCUUCAACACUGUGUGGGCAAGUGGGAAUUCAGCCGGACAUCAGUGUCAACCUCAGAGAUACAAGGAAAGAGGGCGAAGAAAAUCUGAACUGUAACUCAGUUCUAAAUCCAGAUGCCCAGGAAGUUGCUGGAUCUGACUAGGUUUACCUGAAAAUAGCGAAUUUGAGUUUUCCGCAAUGGUUUGAGAAAGCUCAAGAUGAAAAGUAAGGCCAGAAACAGGAAAAAUAAAGUUAUCGUUUGCCCACAUAAGUCUGUGUUUUACGAAAUUAAUGCUUGUUACAAUAGCUAUUAUUGAAUGCCAAAUUUAUACCAAGAACUUUAUAGAUACCAUCUCAUUUAAUUGAUAUGAUUUUAUGUGUAUUACUAUUCACAUUAUAUAAAAUUAGAGAGAUUAAGUUACCUGACUGAAGUCACCCUCCUAAUCAUCAGUGCAGCUAAGAUUUGUGUCUAUACCUAUACAACUCUAAAACAUAUUCUCGGGAUUGGUGGGAAGUCUUUGCCUAGUACAGUAUUUGCCCUACUGAAUUUUAAGCCACAUGUCAAGAGCAUAGCACUGGGCUUCCUUGCAGAGGAUGGACUCAGACACAUUCCUGGGUCUUUCCUUCCCCAGGUGGAUGGUGUUUGCAUCAUUACUUUCAUUACUUUGCUUUCUCACUGUCAUUUCUAUAGUCUUGGCUUCACUUUCUCCUUCAUCAGUCUCUUCAGCUCUCUCUGGCUGGAAGAUUUUUCUUGGAAGAGAAGACUGAAGCACAGUUGGUCCUCACCUGAGAUGCAGCAGUCUGGCUUUUCCUUUCUAGUUUCCCUAUUUUGUAUUGCUACCAUUUCUGGGUCGAAAUAUCUGCUUACUUCAUCCAUCCAUCCAUUUCCGCUUUACUCCAUCAGUUAUUUUUUCAAGAAAAGCAAUAGGUUUGGGAAAAUACUAAGCUUCAAAACAAGUAUAAGCUGAUUUCCCACAGUCAAGAUUAGCUUUCUCUGAUGCCCACAGGUCAAUUUUUCCUUCUGUGCUGGACAAGAUGUAUCUUGGACAUGAGUGAGAUAGAAGUUGGCCCCAUUUUCUUUCUUUUUACUAGGAAGAGGCUAAGUAACACUCAUACAAGCACAUAGCCGGUAGUUUGUGGAGUUAGGAUUCAAACUUGGGUCCACUUAACUGCAAAGUCAGUACUGUUACUUUUCUACCACCCCACUUUUCCAAAGGGUUUCCUUACUUCCAACUAUAUCCACAAGCAAAAAGUCAUGCAUAGGGCAUCUCCUCUGUAGAAGAAUAAUAUUCAAAGAGAUGUACAAAUUUAAAUAUCAGUCUCAUUAGAUGAUGAUACCUUCACACAUGUGUAGAUCCACGCACAGAUAUAUUUGAGGGGCCGCUUUAAGCACUGUUGGCAGAGCUUUCACUUUCUAUCAUCUUCCAGAUCAAAGCUCCCCAAAGCAGAGGAUCUCAGGAAAGCCACCUAUGUACUGUGCCCUUGGGAGUUCUGUGAUGACAAUGAUGAUCAUGUCCAAAUAGCUAGUGGCCAUCCACUCCCACUCCUCAGGCCCUUCCUCAGGACUGUCCAGCCAUGGUGAUUUGCCUGUUCAGUAGCCACUGUCCUCCACAACCAGAUUUUUGUCAGAAAAUAUCUAUAUUCUCACAUUAUCUGUUGAGGGACAGAGGUGGCAUUUUGGAAGAUUGAUUGGCAAGUUCUAAGAGAUGGUCAGUGAAGCAAUUAUAGUGGAAGAUGUUGUCUGCACGUGAAAGUGCUUCCUGUAAAGCAGUACAUGCAGAUCAGUCAUUGGCUGCUGCUUCUAUGUUCCUCCUAUUAUUAUUAACCGCACUUUUAGAGUAGGAGAAAGAUAGCAGAGCUGAAGAGCCAGAGGACUGGCAGCCGUUCUUUAACCUCUGCUAACUGGUUUGUGAGUUGGGCAAGUCAUUUAAACCGUCUUCUUAUCUAGAAAAUGCAAAGCUUGUGUAGCUUUGCAUUUAGAAGAUCUCUGUGGUCCUUCCUUGCUUUUAUCUAGUUGCUUGAGGAAACCCCAUGAGUAUAAUCAACUAGAUGUCCAGAAAACUUUUAAUUACUGGCAGCUCUAUUAGGAGCCCAGUGGACAAAGAGUUUUCUUAUUUUUAAUAUAGUAGAGACUUUAAAUGCAGGGUAUGGAGGGCCCACAGGAGCACAAAGAGCUGUUUAAAAGUCCAGCUGCUUGAGUUGGAACUUAUUUGAGAAUGCAGGUUUAAAUGUACAAACACUCAUAGACAUACACACAUACACAAACAGAAGAAUCUCAUAGUAAGAUAUAAUAAGCUUCUGAAAAGAUGGAUAUUAAGUUAAAUUUUUUUGAAUUGAAAUAUUUUGAUUGCAUGAAGAGAGUAUACUAGUUUUUUUAAAAAGCAAAGAAAUUCUUUUUUCUUUUUUAUUAUACUUUAAGUUCUAGGGUACAUGUGCACAACGUGCAGGUUUGUUACAUAUGUAUCCAUGUGCCAUGUUGGUGUACUACACUCAUUAACUCAUCAUUUACAUUAGGUAUAUCUCCUAAUGUUAUCCCUUCCACUUCCUCCCACCCCACAACAGGCCCCGGUGUGUGACGUUCCCCUUCCUGUGUCCAAGUGUUCUCAUUGUUCAGUUCCCACCUACGAGUGAGAACAUGUGGUGUUUGAUUUUUUGUCCUUGUGAUAGUUUGCUGAGAAUGAUGGCUUCCAGCUUCAUCCAUGUCCCUACAAAGGACACGAACUCACCCUUUUUUAUGGCUGCGUAGUAUUCCAUGGUGCAUAUGUGCCACAUUUUCUUAAUCCAGUCUAUCAUUGAUGGACAUUUGGGUUGGUUCCAAGUCUUUGCUAUUGUGAAUAGUGACGUAAUAAACAUACAUGUGCAUGUGUCUUUAUAGCAGCAUGAUUUAUAAUCCUUUGGGUAUAUACCCCAUAAUGGGAUGGCUGGGUCAAAUGGUAUUUCUAGUUCUAGAUCCUUGAGGAAUCACCACACUGACUUCCACAAUGGUUGAACUAGGUUACAGUCCCACCAACAGUGUAAAAGUGUUCCUAUUUCUCCACAUCCUCUCCAGCACCUGUUGUU